rnacentral:rRNA from 1 species
UACGUAGGUGGCAAGCGUUGUCCGGAAUUAUUGGGCGUAAAGCGCGCGCAGGCGGUCCUUUAAGUCUGCUGUGAAAGCCCACGGCUCAACCGUGGAGGGUCAUUGGAAACUGGGGGACUUGAGUGCAGAAGAGGAAAGUGGAAUUCCACGUGUAGCGGUGAAAUGCGUAGAGAUGUGGAGGAACACCAGUGGCGAAGGCGGCUUUCUGGUCUGUAACUGACGCUGAGGCGCGAAAGCGUGGGGAGCAAACAGG